UACGUAGGUCCCGAGCGUUGUCCGGAUUUAUUGGGCGUAAAGCGAGCGCAGGUGGUUUAUUAAGUCUGGUGUAAAAGGCAGUGGCUCAACCAUGUAUGCAUUGGAAACUGGUAGACUUGAGUGCAGGAGAGGAGAGUGGAAUUCCAUAUGUAGCGGUGAAAUGCGUAGAUAUAUGGAGGAACACCGGUGGCGAAAGCGGCUCUCUGGCCUGUAACUGACACUGAGGCUCGAAAGCGUGGGGAGCAAACAGG
rnacentral:rRNA from 1 species